rnacentral:tRNA from 1 species
GCGCGCUUAGCUCAGGGGUAGAGCGCCUGCUUCACACGCAGGAGGUCGCAGGUUCGAAACCUGCAGCGCGCACCA